rnacentral:rRNA from 1 species
AACUAACGCUGGCGGCGUGCCUAACACAUGCAAGUCGUACGAGAAAGUUGGCUUCGGCCGAUGAGUACAGUGGCGCACGGGUGAGUAACGCGUGGAUAAUCUGCCCUUAAGUGUGGAAUAACGUACCGAAAGGUGCGCUAAUACCGCAUAAUGCCUGGCAACAUAAGUUGUCCGGCCAAAGAAGGCCUCUGCUUGCAAGCUUUCGCUAAAGGAUGAGUCCGCGUACCAUUAGCUAGUUGGUGGGUAACGGCCUACCAAGGCGACGAUGGUUAGCUGGUCUGAGAGGAUGAUCAGCCACACUGGAACUGAGACACGGUCCAGACUCCUACGGGAGCAGCAGUGAGGAAUAUUGCGCAAUGGGGGCAACCCUGACGCAGCAACGCCGCGUGAGUGAGGAAGGUUUUCGGACUGUAAAGCUCUGUCGAGCGGGAAGAAGUGUACCAUGGCUAAUAUCCAUGAUAUUGACGGUACGCUAGAGGAACG